CAGUCGCCGCGGUAAUACGGAGGGUGCAAGCGUUAAUCGGAAUUACUGGGCGUAAAGCGCACGCAGGCGGUCUGACAAGUCAGAUGUGAAAUCCCCGGGCUUAACCUGGGAACUGCAUUUGAAACUGUCAGGCUGGAGUCUUGUAGAGGGGGGUAGAAUUCCAGGUGUAGCGGUGAAAUGCGUAGAGAUCUGGAGGAAUACCGGUGGCGAAGGCGGCCCCCUGGACAAAGACUGACGCUCAGGUGCGAAAGCGUGGGGAGCAAACAGGAUUAGAUACCCGAGUAGUCCCUGUCUCUUAUAC
rnacentral:rRNA from 1 species